GACGAACGCUGGCGGCGUGCUUAACACAUGCCAGUCGAACGGAAAGGCCCUGCUUUUGUGGGGUGCUCGAGUGGCGAACGGGUGAGUAACACGUGAGUAACCUGCCCUUGACUUUGGGAUAACUUCAGGAAACUGGGGCUAAUACCGGAUAGGAGCUCCUGCUGCAUGGUGGGGGUUGGAAAGUUUCGGCGGUUGGGGAUGGACUCGCGGCUUAUCAGCUUGUUGGUGGGGUAGUGGCUUACCAAGGCUUUGACGGGUAGCCGGCCUGGGAGGGUUACCGGCCACAUUGGGACGGCGAUACGGCCCAGACUCCUACGGGAGGCAGCAGUGGGGAAUAUUGCACAAUGGGCGGAAGCCUGAUGCAGCAACGCCGCGUGCGGGAUGACGGCCUUCGGGUUGUAAACCGCUUUCGCCUGUGACGAAGCGUGAGUGACGGUAAUGGGUAAAGAAGCACCGGCUAACUACGUG
rnacentral:rRNA from 1 species